CACGCCGUAAACUAAUGCGCGUUAGGUGUAUCGGUGACCACGAGUUACCGAGGUGCCGAAGGGAAACCGUGAAACGUGCCGCCUGGGAAGUACGGUCGCAAGGCUGAAACUUAAAGGAAUUGGCGGGGGGAGGCACCACAACAGGUGGAGCCUGCGGUUUAAUUGGACUCAACGCCGGGAAGCUCACCGGAUAGGACAGCAGAAUGAUUGCCGGGCUGAAGACCCUGCAUGACUAGCUGAGAGGUGGUGCAUGGCGUCAGUGACU
rnacentral:rRNA from 1 species